UAUAAGAAUCGUAUGGCGUCACAGGACGAAAACAUGGUAGAGGUGUAUCGGAUUUUAUCGUGUGUAUUUCAAUUUUACAGCUAAGAGCGUUAAUUACCUUAAUUAUGUGAAAGUAAAUUAAUCAAAUAUAAUAUUUUUGAUCUUAAGAUUUAACAAAAUAGGCUUUUCUCAAUAAAAAGCCUUUUUGCUGCAAUGGUAACAAUAACGAAAUUGGUGCUCAUCGCAGUUAUUUAUGUUUUUUCAGGUAUUUUUACUCCUGUAAUAGCAUCACGUGUACUUGAACUAAGCGACAGAUUUUUGGAUAUUCAUAAAGAUGGGCAGUGGCUUGUUAUGAUGUAUGCACCAUGGUGUGCACAUUGCAAAAGAUUAGAACCAAUUUGGUCUCUUGUAGCACAACAUUUACAUGCGACAUCAAUAAGAGUUGGAAGAGUUGAUUGCACCCGAUUUACAAGUGUUGCUCAUGCUUUUAAAGUUAAGGGAUUUCCAACUAUUAUAUUCUUAAAAGGUGAGCAAGAAUUUGUAUAUCAUGGAGAUAGAACACGAGAUGAAAUAGUAAAAUUUGCAUUAAGAGUAAGUGGCCCACCUGUUCAAGAAGUAACAAAAACUCAAAGUUUCGACACAAUUAAAAGGGAACGUGAUCUAUACUUUUUAUAUGUUGGAGAACGAUCUGGACCAUUAUGGGAAUUUUAUCAUAAGACUGCAGAUGUGUUCCAACCACAUGCAUUUUUCUAUCAGUCUCAUCCAAAUGUUGUUAGUAAACAUGCUCCUGUGGAAAAUACUCCUGCAUUGUUUGUCUAUAAGGAAAAUUUACAUUAUAAUUUUAGUGGCCAUGACAUAAAUAAUAUAGAAAAGUUAAAUGAGACAGUAUACAAAUGGAUAAAUGCAGAACGUUUUCCUACAUUCCCAAAAGUAACAAGAGGAAAUAUAAAUCAACUUUUCCUGACAAAUAAAAAUCUAGUAUUGGCAGUAGUAGAAGAAAAUCAACUAGAAGAAAUACCACUACACAUGACACGGUUCAAAGAUAUGGUAGAAUCUAUAAUUAAAAGCAAGCGAGAAAAAUAUCACGAUCAAUUUCAGUUUGGUUGGAUAGCUAAUCCAGAUCUAGUCAAUAGUAUAGCAAUGAUGGUUUUACCAUUGCCAAGCUUAAUUGUUAUUAAUACUACAACAAACCACCAUCACAUUCCAGAGGAUGAAACAGAAAAACUGACUCCUCAUGUGAUAGAGUUGUUCCUAGAGCAAAUUCGAAAUGAAAGUGCUCCGCGAUAUGGUGGAAACAGUUGGUUAAUUCGUAUAUAUAGAUCAUGGUUUGAAUUAAAAACAACUCUUUCUGCAAUGUGGAUGGGUAACCCCAUUCUAACAAUGGUUUUGUUUGGUUUACCAGCAGGAUUCUUAUCCUUAAUAUGUUAUGGUAUUUGUUGUCCAGAUAUUUUAGAUGCAGAUGACGAUGAAGAAGAUCAUCCAGGAGCAAAUCAUAUGAAAAGAGAUUGAAAUAACUGAAUUAUUGUAUUGUUUAUAUUAAACAGUUUUUAAAAAUUUUUAACCUAUUGUUUCUAAUUUCAUUUAGUCAAUGCAAUGAAAGAGAUUCUAUGAAUUAUAAAUAGAAUGAUAAAGAUUUAUCUUAGCUAAAUGGAACUUUCAUAAGACAAUACAAAUCAUGUAAGUAAACGAGCUUUUUUUAAACUGCAUAAUAAAUUUGUUUUACAUUGAAAUAUGUAAAUGUACUAAAGUUUCAUGUAAAGAAUGUAAGUGGCAAAUAAUGUUCUGUAUACUUAUAUUUGGAAUUACAGAUGUAUGUUUGUUUAUGUAAAUAUAGUGAAAAGUAUUUCAUAUCAA